GUGAAAUGCGAGUGCCUAGUGUGCCACUUUUGGUAAGCAGACUGGCGCUGCGAGAUGAACCGAAC
rnacentral:miRNA from 1 species